rnacentral:rRNA from 1 species
AACGAACGCUGGCGGCAGGCUUAACACAUGCAAGUCGAACGCUCCGCAAGGAGAGUGGCAGACGGGUGAGUAACGCGUGGGAAUCUACCUAGUUCUACGGAACAACACAGGGAAACUUGUGCUAAUACCGUAUACGCCCUACGGGGGAAAGAUUUAUCGGAAUUAGAUGAGCCCGCGUAAGAUUAGCUAGUUGGUGGGGUAAUGGCCUACCAAGGCGACGAUCUUUAGCUGGUCUGAGAGGAUGAUCAGCCACACUGGGACUGAGACACGGCCCAGACUCCUACGGGAGGCAGCAGUGGGGAAUAUUGGACAAUGGGCGCAAGCCUGAUCCAGCCAUGCCGCGUGAGUGAUGAAGGCCUUAGGGUUGUAAAGCUCUUUCAGUGGGGAAGAUAAUGACGGUACCCACAGAAGAAGCCCCGGCUAACUUCGUGC